UACAGAGGUCCCGAGCGUUGUUCGGAUUCACUGGGCGUAAAGGGCGCGUAGGCGGCCUUCUAAGUCAGACGUGAAAUCCCCCGGCUUAACCUGGGAACUGCGUCUGAUACUGGGAGGCUUGAGUAUGGGAGAGGGAUGUAGAAUUCCUGGUGUAGCGGUGAAAUGCGUAGAUAUCAGGAGGAACACCGGUGGCGAAAGCGCUCAUCUGGCCCAAUACUGACGCUGAGGCGCGAAAGCUAGGGGAGCAAACGGG
rnacentral:rRNA from 1 species